rnacentral:lncRNA from 1 species
GCUCUCUCCUGAGCCGGGUGACCCCGCAGCGGUGCCCCUGACCCGAGAGACAGGAGGGAACGCGGGACAGCGGGGUCCCAGGCCUCUGGUGCUCAGGGGUCCUGGAGUCACAGUUCGCUCCGGGUUGGAGAGCCCAAGGGACCGCCCCUUAGGGGACCGUGCGCGCUCUGGGAAGCAACCGGCCUAGCUGCUCUCUUUCCAGCAUGCACAUUUCCAACCCAGCCCCCUCCACGCCCUUAGAAGUUGCUAAAGUUCAAACUCAGAGCCCUGUUUCUGCUAUGCAAAUGCUCUGCUCCUAAGCUCCACCUAAGCCCAAGAUGCACACAUAUUCUCGUGUGAAGAUGUCCAGCAUACUGUUCAGUGGGAAGAAAAGUACAGAACACUGUUUGGAGAGAAAAUACAUCACACUGAUUUUGGAAGCUGUCUCUGGCAAAGGAGUCUCAAGUUGACAUGUUGGAGGAGUCACCGUGAGAUGCUGAGGUGUGGCUCAGUGGUUGGUGGAUGCACACGAAGACUUGUGGUUAAGUCCAUGCACUGAAAAGAAAUUAAUGUACUUAUGUGUAAUUCUGCAGUUCUGUUAACUUGUUUUAUAAGACAGGGUCUCACAGCUCAGGCUGCCUUUGGAAGCUGGUGAGGUAGCUGAUGCUGGCCUCCACUUCCCAGAUGCUGGGUGGGAUUACAGCAGUGUGCCAUCAGGCCCAGCCAAACUGUAAUAAAAAAAAAAAAAAAACUGGGGAGGGAUAGAGUGUAGGGUUGGGCCUAAAACAUGAGUGUCCAAUAGAAUUUUUUUUUCUAGAUGUUUUUUUCUGUGUAUCCCUGGCUGUCCUAGAACUAGCUCUCUAGACCAGGGCAGCCUUGGACUCACAGAGAUCCACCUGCCUCUGCCUCCCAAGUGCAGGGAUUAAAGGCGUGCGCCACCACUGCUCAGCAAAUUCUGUGCAACGGUAGAAAGGUCCUACAGCUGUGCUGUCCCAUUGUUAGCCAGUCGACACACAUGGCUUCUGAGCACUUGGAUCAUAGCUAGUGUCUCCAAAGAAUCGAAUUUUACUCUUUUCUCUAGUUGAGGGUGGGGCACCUUGUGUUACCAAGGCUAUCCUUAAACUCCUGGAUGCAAACAAGUUUCCCCGCUUCAGCUGUUUUCUCCUCGAGGGGAUGGAACCCAGGCCUUUCACAUACUAAACAUGCACUCUACCAGUGAGCUGUACCCCUGCCCAGAUUCACCCUUCCAAACGCUGGAAUGAGUUCCCUCUGGAGGGUGAAGCACAGCACAUAGAGGACUCCAGGGAGGAUGAGGCUCCUCUGAAGGCUGCCUUGUUUCUCCAGUUUCUCUCAGCCUCUGGAUAUUACCCCAGCAUUCCUGAAAGGGAGCUGAGUAGUGUAUCUGAUUUAACUGCUAUGCCUUUAAGAUCCCAGGCAACUCCAGGUGGAAAAACUGGUCAGAGUUAGGAGAGUGGAGGGUUACCAUCAUUAGAGGAGGCUGAUUUCCAGGAAGAACAGCAGAGGAAGGGCACCAGAGAGGAAAUGCAGGGCAGGCUACAGAGCACAAAGCUGUUUCCAAGUGCAGGGACCUGCUCAGGGCAGAACCUAUGGUUAGUACCACAGACAGGCAGGAGGUGGCCAGGAGCUACCAUAGCACCUCCAGCUUCCAGUCUGUGUAUGUCAGCGAGCCUUCUGCCUGGUGACUGAACGUGAUACUCAGUGAUACUCGCUGGCCCUUUCACUGAGCGCAUUUUCUGGGAACACCCACCUCGUGCCAGAUACCCCCUAGGUGUUCAGCCCUCAACUUGAACAAAGCAGAUAAAAAUCUCUAACUUCCUGAAAAUCUCCGGUAAAAUCAAAUAAUACAUGAUUACGGGCUGGGGUAAACAUUUUAAAUGGGUGAGAGAAAGAGAGUGCAGGGCUGGGAGUGAAACUCAGUAGUGGUAGAAAGUAUGCUUAGCACAAGCAGUGUCUAGGGCCGUGUGCUAAUAAUAGAUGGAGCAUAAUUUCCAUUAGGAAAGUGUGAGAAAAGACUCUAGAAGCACACUCCUCUCUUCCCCCCAAAGACCCAAAUACAAAAUGACAGCCAGGUGAAGGGAAGUUGUACCUAAGACCAUUCCAGAAGGACUGGUGACUGAUGGGGAAACGGACCCUGAAAUGGGACCUUGGCCUUCAGGAAGGAAUGUAGCAUUAGUGGGGCAUGGUGACUGAGAGUGAGGAAGGCCACAACAUCCACAUACUGCCAGGCUUCAUGAGUUUCUUCCUAGGGGAGGGGGCCUGGGAGCAGCCUAGGGGAGGAGUGAGCUGACUGGUCUUGGAUGCUGGAUGAGGAAGGGACUAAGGAAUCAGCAGACAGUAGCUUCGUGUGGUCCACAGGCUAAAGAAUGCUUUUUAACACUUUUCAAGGAUUCCUGAAAAAUAAAACAAACAAAAAUCCACAUGAAAUUAAAAUUUUAGUGUUCAAAAAUAAAGUAAGCCUUGCCCACUUACAAGUGUCUCUUGUCAUUUUCUCACUACAUUGGCCAAAGGUGGAGCAGAGACUGUAUGGUCUUCAGAGCCUAAAAUAUUAACUACUUGGCUCUUUUGACAAUAAAACUAAGUGACCUGAGGAUUAGAGAGAGACUAAAAGUAGGAAGCCUAAACAGGAGGUUGCAACAGACACCAGGAUGAGAGGACAUCUCCAUCUCAAUGGUGUGGAACUGAGAUGUGGAUGGGCUGAAGAAGCAAUUUAAGGAGAGAGCUUCCAGAACUUGCUAAUGGCAUGUGGGAGACUGAGGCAGGGGGAUCAUCAUGAGUUGGAGGCCAGCCUGGGCUAUACAGAGUGAGACCCUGUCACAAAAGAAAAAAAAAAAGAAGCAAACAAAGCUAGCAGUGGUGACUGGUGCCUGCACUACCAAACUUUGUGAGGCAGAAAAAGGAAACCUUUCCAUACAAGUUUGAGGCCAGCCUCUUCAACAGCGCCACGAGACCCUAUUUGACUGGGGAGGGUGCCAAAAGAGAGAGGGAAGAGGAAAAGAAAAAAAGGGAAAGAAGAAUUGAGGAUGGAUUGAAGAGAUGAGAUACAUUUCUUUUUUUUUUUUUUUCUUUUUUCUUUUUUUUGUUUUUUUGAGACAGGGUUUCUCUGUAUAGCCCUGGCUGUCCUGGAACUCACUUUGUAGACCAGGCUGGCCUCGAACUCAGAAAUCUGCCUGCCUCUGCCUUCCGAGUGCUGGGAUUAAAGGCGUGUGCCACCAUGCCCAGCUGAGAUACAUUUCAAAAUGACCCAGAACUUGUGGUCCUGGAGUAGGACCUUGGUAACACUUGGGGACAUGGGAUAAGGUUUGUGGCUUAGCUAGUAUUGUUUUAGUGUUAACUUCUGCAUCCUUGACCACACAGUGAUUUUGAGGCCAGCAUGAACUACAGUGAGACCCUGAACCAAAUCUAUAACCACAGUGGGCUGGUAAGCUGAAAAGAUGUCUAGUAGUUAAAAGCUCUUUACAGCUCUCACAAAGGAUGGGAGUUUGGUUUCCAGCAACUCUGUUGGGCAGCUUUUCUGUAACUUCAGCUCCUGGGGAUCUGAUGCCCUCAUCUGGCCUCUGAGGUCACUUUAUUCGCAUGUACAUACCUACAUGUAUAUUUUAAAAAUAAUAAAAUAAAUCU